rnacentral:rRNA from 1 species
ACUCCUACGGGAGGCAGCAGUAGGAAUAUUGGACAAUGGGCGCAAGCCUGAUCCAGCCAUGCCGCGUGAGUGAAGAAGGCCCUCGGGUUGUAAAGCUCUUUUGUUGGGGAAGAAAAGCCUUGGGUUAAUACCCCGGGGUCCGUGACGGUCCCGAAAGAAUCAAAGCACCGGCUAACUUCGUGCCAGCAGCCGCGGUAAUACGAAGGGUGCAAGCGUUACUCGGAAUUACUGGGCGUAAAGCGUGCGUAGGUGGUUCGUUAAGUCUGAUGUGAAAGCCCUGGGCUCAACCUGGGAAUUGCAUUGGAUACUGGCGGGCUAGAGUGCGGUAGAGGGUAGUGGAAUUCCCGGUGUAGCAGUGAAAUGCGUAGAGAUCGGGAGGAACAUCUGUGGCGAAGGCGACUGCCUGGACCAGCACUGACACUGAGGCACGAAAGCGUGGGGAGCAAACAGGAUUAGAUACCCUGGUAGGCACUGCU